rnacentral:rRNA from 1 species
GACGAACGCUGGCGGCGUGCUUAACACAUGCAAGUCGAACGGAAAGGCCCUGCUUUUGUGGGGUGCUCGAGUGGCGAACGGGUGAGUAACACGUGAGUAACCUGCCCUUGACUUUGGGAUAACUUCAGGAAACUGGGGCUACUACCGGAUAGGAGCUCCUGCUGCAUGGUGGGGGUUGGAAAGUUUCGGCGGUUGGGGAUGGACUCGCGGCUUAUCAGCUUGUUGGUGGGGUAGUGGCUUACCAAGGCUUUGACGGGUAGCCGGCCUGAGAGGGUGACCGGCCACAUUGGGACUGAGAUACGGCCCAGACUCCUACGGGGGGCAGCAGUGGGGAAUAUUGCACAAUGGGCGGAAGCCUGAUGCAGCAACGCCGCGUGCGGGAUGACGGCCUUCGGGUUGUAAACCGCUUUCGCCUGUGACGAAGCGUGAGUGACGGUAAUGGGUAAAGAAGCACCGGCUAACUACGUG